rnacentral:lncRNA from 1 species
AACAUCUAAGAGUCUAAAUCCAACCUUUAAAGCCUAAGUUUCUACAAUUUCCAAGGAUCUAUAUCCGGCGUCGCUCGGGUACCCAACCCAAGCUCUGAUACCACCUGUGGCGCCCACUACCGAAAUACACUGUACUUUUUUUUUUUUUUUUUCAUUACAAUAAAUAAAUACAAUGACUUCCGAUAAAUACAAUGUCUCCUACUUAAUUUCUCAACAAUAAUAUCAAAUACACGUGACAACCAAAUGCCACAACUAAUCUCGUAUUCAUAGUUCUCGAAUUACAAUUAUUCUUAAACACAACACUAGAUUAAACUCUCUAAAAUCUCUGAAUAACUUUUAUUCCUAAGAACCUUCAACAUAAUCGUCCACUAAUGCAUCUGCCACUGAGAAUAAGAAGGAAAAUAAAGGAGGAGUAAGUCCAAGUGGACUUAGUGAGGAGUACAAGGGAAGAGGAGUAAGUCCAAGUGGACUUAGUGAGGAGUACAAGGGAAAAACAGUCGAAUCAAAUAAUAAUCACAAUAUAAGUGUUCAAGGAAUUGGAGUUGGAAUUGGACCAUCUAGAGAAUGAUCGUUCGAUAGGGAAUAAGAGGCCAAAGUAUAAGGCACAUCAAUAUGAUCAGAAUCGACAAUAUAAUCAAUAUGUACAGGUAAAGAACAAUAUUCAACGGGUAAUUCCCGAAUAUUAAUUAUGAAUUUCGUGGAGAUUCCCACGAUAACAAUUUCGGAUAUCAAAUAUGAGACCAUGGAGAUUCCCAUGGUAACAAUUUGUUCAUGUACCUGUACCUGCCUUGUGACUCCCUUAGCCGUAACUACCUUAUAACACCGAUCAGGGAGCUACCCUGCUAAUCGAUCAAUAGGCAUGCCCGGGCGCAUGCCGAUCCAGCCAUCAACACAGUUAACCUCCAACUAUGCCAAUGGUCUAGAUCCAAUAUGGGUACUGUCGAAGAGACCAUCCACCGUCGG